rnacentral:rRNA from 1 species
UACGUAGGUGGCAAGCGUUGUCCGGAUUUAUUGGGCGUACAGGGCGCGCAGGCGGUUCGCUAAGUCCGAGGUGAAAUCUCCCGGCUCAACUGGGAGAGGUCUUCGGAUACUGGCGGGCUUGAGGAGAGCAGAGGUGAGCGGAAUUCUGGGUGUAAUGGUGAAAUGCGUAGAUAUCCAGAGGAACACCAGUGGCGAAGGCGGCUCACUGGGCUCCACCUGACGCUGAGGCGCGAAAGCGUGGGGAGCGAACCGG